rnacentral:lncRNA from 1 species
AAUAAAUAAAUAGAUUAAGAAGUCAAAAAAAAAAAUACUACUACUACUACUAAUAAUAAUAAUUUUGGUUAAAAAGUAUUGAGAAAUUUUUCAUUACUAAUUAAUUGUUCUCACAUUGAUCCUUGAAAAUUGUUGUGAUGCCCUGAAUUUUAGUUUCUUUUCUAGAAUUUUUAUCAUUAAAAUUUCUGCAAGAUAAUAGCAAAGAAAAUCUGUAGAGUAGAUUUUCUAAAAAAAUUAUAUGUAUCAGUUUUUGUAGAUGACAAGUGUUUCCUCAAUUUAUAUAAUACGUCACAGCUCAGUUCUAAAUUACAUUUCACAGACCAAGUUUUAAACUUGGCCUCCAUAAAAGUAGGCAGUUAAAAAAAAUUACCUUCAUGUUACUUGCUGGACCUGGUAAGUAAAGACAUUUAUUACUGCAUUAUUUAAAAUAGCAAAACAUGGAAGCAAUUUAUAUGUCCAACUAUAGGGGAAUGGUUGAAUAAAUGAUGGCACAUUCAUUAAGUUAAACCUAAUGCAGUUAUGAAAAGUCAUAAGUAUGAAAGCCAGGGAGAAUAUGAAAAAAAAGGAUAAUGCGAAGCAAAAAGAACUGAGAAUUAUGAGUAGACUUGGACAGUGAUUACAUCAGAUAAACAACAACAAAAUUAUUUGCAGUGAGAUGGAAAGUCUCAAUAUCUUUCAAAUAUCUUUAAUGGUUUCACAUUACUUUUAUUUUGUUUUACUUUGAGGUGGAGUCUUGCUCUGUCACCCAGGCUGGAGCGCAGUGGUAUGAUCUCAGCUCACUGCAACCUCUGCCUCCUGGGUUCAAGCAAUGCUCAUGCCUCAGUCUCCCGAGUAGCUGGGACUACAGGCACGUGCCACCAUGCCAGCUAAUUUUUUGUAUUUUUAGUACAGAUGGGGUUUCACCAUGUUAGCCAGGCUGGUCUCAAACUUCUGACUUCAGGUGAUUCACCCACCUCAGCCUCCCAAAGUGCUGGGAUUACAGGCAUGAGCCACCACACUGGUGUCAUAUUACCUUUAAAUAAUUUUUUUAGGAUACAAGAUGACAUUGUUUUAAUAUAUAAGUAAAGGAAUCACCAGGAUGCACUGGGCCUGUCCCUAUGAGCACCAAGUUGAUAUGCACACACCCAAGUGUGAGGCACCUGCUAUACACACUGUGUAUGUACGUGUGCGUAAAACCUUGAGGAAAAUGCCAUUUGCCCCAUCCAUUUUUCCAAAGACGGUUCAAAGACAGUAUUUAUCACUAAAUUCCUCCAAAACCUUAAAACCACAUGUGUGCAUUUGCACUUGUGAGUCACUGAAAUCCACUUUGAGAUCAUUAGCAACAAUGGACAGGGUGGCCCAGCCUGUCAUGGCAUGGGGACAGGUAGGGAUGCUACAGUUGGAAAUGGACUGACUCAUACUCAGGCUGUCACAGCCUGGUCUCAGCCUGUAGGGCUCAUGCUGAGAAUGGUACAGGCAGGGGAGCCAGGGACUAGUGUCCAGAUGAGACAUCAGGCUCCAUCACCCAUUGGCUGAGUCACCCAGGCAGCAGAGCUCACCUGUCUGCUGGGCCUGUUUCUCUGUCUGCACAGCAAGCAUCACAGUCACUAUAGUCAAAAUGUGUCCUCUAGAAUUCAUGUGUCAGAAACAAUCCCCAAUGCAACCAUGUUAGGAGGUGGGGCCGAAUGGGAGGUGUUGAGGUUGUGAGGGCCUUACCCUCGUGAAUGGAUUAAUGCCAUUAUAAAAAAGGGCUUGCAGAAGUCGGUUCACUCUCAGAUGCUCUUGUCCUCAUGUCUUCCGUCAUGUGAUGAUGCAGCAAGAAGGCCCUUGCCAGACACUAGUGCCUCAAUCUUGGGCUUCCCAGUUUCCAGAAAAAUUUCUGUUUGUUGUAUAUCACCCAGUCUCAGGUCUUCUGUUACAGCAGCAAAAAAGGGACUAAGACAACAGUCUGCCUAUGGACUCCUUGAGAAUUAAAGGGAAUGCAGGAGGCCCACCUAUCCUUGGAUCGGGUCCAUAUGUUCUCAACAAAUGGCAAUUUCUACUCUGAUGGUCUGGAAGGGUGUGACGAGUGGGUUGUUUUUCUUUUUCAAGUGUUCUGUGGUGCUUGUAUAGAGCUUGUCAUGAAAAUUUAUAAGGCACAAGUCACCCAUUUAUCGCACUCUGUGACCUUGGUUAAAUUCUGUAUCCUCUCUCUGCCUCAAUGUUUUCAUCUGUAGAAUGGGAAUGCUGGUGCAUGCCCGUGGUGCACAGGUUUGUUGUAAGGCUAAAUGAGCUAACUCAUGUAGGCAUCUAGCACAGAGUCUGGCUCAUUCUAAGUACAAAAUAAAUGCUGCUAACUGUUGGUUUUUGCUAGGGUGUGACUUACAGGAUAAGAAUAAUCAACCUCUGUUCAUUUCUAUUCAGAUGAAUUGGCCCUCAGAAGCUGGCUUUCUACAAGGUCCAGCUGGGUCAGGAAAAACAAUAACAAGAGCAGCUAAACGCAUUGAGUUCCUCUGAAAUGUCAGGCACUCCUAUGAGUACACAGUGGUUCCCUGCUCAAAGGAUGGGGGAACAGAGGAUCGGCCUUUGCCCAGCUCUGGCUGAGAGCUCUUGGAUGAAGAAUAACUGAUGCAGAGACAUCUCAGCCCUUUGCCCUGACCAGUGCCAAGAGGCCCAUUGCCGAUGAGAGGGUGACACCUAUGACCCGGUUCACAGAUCCAGAGCCAGUGAGGAGCUCUUGGAGAUCAGGUGAAAGCUAAGCAGAGGCAAGCAGGUCUUGGGGUGAUUUUCACUGCAGGUCAUAGAAACUGGCUGAAGGUAGCUCAUGCCAGCUGAAAAGGAUGUUUACUGGAUAAACAUCAGAGUGUCUCAUGAAAUCUAAGAAUGACAGUAGGGUAACCAACCAUCCCAGCUUGCCCAGGACCUUCUCUGUUUUAUUCUUGCAUUUUAGGAAGCCCCUCAGUCCCAGGCAGACUGAAGCUGUUGGCAGCCCUGGAAUCAGGUGCCACAGAGGCACUGCCAAGACAGGCUGAGAAUCUCUCACCCCUAACACCAGAUUUCCAGAGGAGGGAAGCUGAUCAGCCAAGCCAGGCCAGAUAUCCACCCAGAUCUUCAUCUGCUGUGGCCAAGAGGAGGACCCUAUGGUUGGGAACUGGAGCCCCUAUUACCUGCUGAACACUGCUCCAGAACAUAAGAAAUGCUACAAAAAAAUGAAACAGAAUAAAUGGUGUCAUAAAUUGAAUG